rnacentral:rRNA from 1 species
UGGGGAAUAUUGCACAAUGGGGGAAACCCUGAUGCAGCAACGCCGCGUGAGUGAAGAAGUAUUUCGGUAUGUAAAGCUCUAUCAGCAGGGAAGAAAAUGACGGUACCUGACUAAGAAGCACCGGCUAAAUACGUGCCAGCAGCCGCGGUAAUACGUAUGGUGCAAGCGUUAUCCGGAUUUACUGGGUGUAAAGGGAGCGCAGGCGGUCUGGCAAGUCUGAUGUGAAAGCCCGGGGCUCAACCCCGGGACUGCAUUGGAAACUGUCAGACUAGAGUGUCGGAGAGGUAAGUGGAAUUCCUAGUGGAGCGGUGAAAUGCGUAGAUAUUAGGAGGAACACCAGUGGCGAAGGCGGCUUACUGGACGAUAACUGACGCUGAGGCUCGAAAGCGUGGGGAGCAAACA